rnacentral:ncRNA from 1 species
GCAGGGGUGCCCGAAACGGGCUGAGAAAUACCCUUAAACCUGAACCAGAUAAUGCUGGCGGAGGAAGCCGUGG